rnacentral:rRNA from 1 species
GACGAACGCUGGCGGCGUGCCUAAUACAUGCAAGUAGAACGCUGAAGGAGGAGCUUGCUUCUCUGGAUGAGUUGCGAACGGGUGAGUAACGCGUAGGUAACCUGCCUGGUAGCGGGGGAUAACUAUUGGAAACGAUAGCUAAUACCGCACAAGAGUAGAUGUUGCAUGACAUUUGCUUAAAAGGUGCGAUUGCAUCACUACCAGAUGGACCUGCGUUGUAUUAGCUAGUUGGUGGGGUAACGGCUCACCAAGGCGACGAUACAUAGCCGACCUGAGAGGGUGAUCGGCCACACUGGGACUGAGACACGGCCCAGACUCCUACGGGAGGCAGCAGUAGGGAAUCUUCGGCAAUGGACGGAAGUCUGACCGAGCAACGCCGCGUGAGUGAAGAAGGUUUUCGGAUCGUAAAGCUCUGUUGUAAGAGAAGAACGAGUGUGAGAGUGGAAAGUUCACACUGUGACGGUAUCUUACCAGAAAGGGACGGCUAACUACGUGCCAGCAGCCGCGGUAAUACGUAGGUCCCGAGCGUUGUCCGGAUUUAUUGGGCGUAAAGCGAGCGCAGGCGGUUAGAUAAGUCUGAAGUUAAAGGCUGUGGCUUAACCAUAGUACGCUUUGGAAACUGUUUAACUUGAGUGCAAGAGGGGAGAGUGGAAUUCCAUGUGUAGCGGUGAAAUGCGUAGAUAUAUGGAGGAACACCGGUGGCGAAAGCGGCUCUCUGGCUUGUAACUGACGCUGAGGCUCGAAAGCGUGGGGAGCAAACAGG